AAGUCGAACGAUGAAGUUAUGACGGAGGCUUCGGCCGACAGAAUGAUGGAUUAGUGGCGGACGGGUGAGUAACGCGUGAGUAACCUGCCUUUCAGAGAGGAAUAACAUUUGGAAACGAAUGGUAAUACCACAUAACAUUACGUUCUCGCAUGGGGAUGUAAUCAAAGAUUUUAUCGCUGAGAGAUGGACUCGCGUCCGAUUAGCUGGAUGGUGAGGUAACGGCCCACCAUGGCGACGAUCGGUAGCCGGACUGAGAGGUUGAACGGCCACAUUGGGACUGAGACACGGCCCAGACUCCUACGGGAGGCAGCAGUGGGGAAUAUUGCACAAUGGGGGAAACCCUGAUGCAGCAACGCCGCGUGAAGGAAGACGGUCUUCGGAUUGUAAACUUUUGUUCUUGGUGAAGAAGAAUGACGGUAGCCAAGGAGGAAGCCACGGCUAACUACGUGCCAGCAGCCGCGGUAAUACGUAGGUGGCAAGCGUUGUCCGGAAUUACUGGGUGUAAAGGGAGCGCAGGCGGGAAAUCAAGUUGGAUGUGAAAUGUCGGGGCUUAACCCCGGAACUGCAUCCAAAACUGAUAUUCUUGAGUGAAGUAGAGGUAGGCGGAAUUCCGAGUGUAGCGGUGAAAUGCGUAGAUAUUCGGAGGAACACCAGUGGCGAA
rnacentral:rRNA from 1 species